AUCUUGUCGGGUAAGUUCCGACCUGCACGAAUGGCGUAACGACUUCUCAACUGUCUCAACCAUAGACUCGGCGAAAUUGCACUACGAGUAAAGAUGCUCGUUACGCGCGGCAGGACGGAAAGACCCCGGGACCUUCACUAUAGCUUGGUAUUGGCGUUUGGUUCGGUUUGUGUAGGAUAGGUGGGAGACUGUGAAGCAGGCACGCCAGUGUUUGUGGAGUCAUCGUUGAAAUACCACUCUGAUCGUAUUGAACCUCUAACCUCGGACCGUAUAUCCGGUCCAGGGACAGUGCCUGGUGGGUAGUUUAACUGGGGCGGUUGCCUCCCAAAAUGUAACGGAGGCGCCCAAAGGUUCCCUCAACCUGGACGGCAAUCAGGUGUUGAGUGCAAGUGCACAAGGGAGCUUGACUGCGAGACCUACAAGUCAAGCAGGGACGAAAGUCGGGACUAGUGAUCCGGCACCUCUGAGUGGAAGGGGUGUCGCUCAACGGAUAAAAGGUACCCCGGGGAUAACAGGCUGAUCUUCCCCAAGAGUCCAUAUCGACGGGAUGGUUUGGCACCUCGAUGUCGGCUCGUCGCAUCCUGGGGCUGGAGCAGGUCCCAAGGGUUGGGCUGUUCGCCCAUUAAAGCGGCACGCGAGCUGGGUUUAGAACGUCGUGAGACAGUUCGGUCUCUAUCCGCCGCGCGCGUCAGAAACUUGAGGAAACCUGUCCCUAGUACGAGAGGACCGGGACGGACGAACCUCUGGUGUACCAGUUGUUCCACCA
rnacentral:rRNA from 1 species